UAACAAAAAACUGACUUGUGGUCUUGCC
rnacentral:piRNA from 1 species